GCGCAGUGUUGAACCCGCGCAGGCGCCGUUGGGCGGCUCAACGGACGGGAGGCGUGACCGGCGAGCGGUAGGAGGCGUGGCGAAGCGCGGGGCGUGGCCGGGUAUAAAAAGCCGCGCCCGGCGGUGCCGCCGCCAUUCUGAGGGCUGGUGGAGGUUUGGUUGGUCUUGAGAGACGCCGUCGCCUUUACCACGAGAGAAAAAACCAAUACAAACAAUACAAAAUACAAUACAAAACGCGAACAAAACAACAAAAAUAUAUAUAUACAACAAAGAGGGGAAGGAAAAAACCAGGUUUUCUCUCCCCCUUUGCCGUGAAGAGCCGCCGCAGCCUCUCCGUCCUUUGGACCGUCCUUGGAAGCCGUUCCAAACCCGAAGGAAACUGCCACUUUAAAAAACAUAUUUCCCUCUUCUUUCCCCCAAAAAAACAAAGGCAAAACCCACUUUUUUUUUCGAGCAGAAAAAAAAAAAAAAACCCAAACAACUUUUUUUUUUUUUUUCUUUUUUUUUUUUUUUUUUUGGUUUUCAGUUUAGCUCGAUCCACUCCUUUAGGGCUUUAAAAAACAAACAAAACCCAAGGGAAAAAAAAAAAAAACUUUAAAAAAACCCCAAAAUACCCGUCAAGCUGCAAAAAAAAAGUUGCUGCGUUUUUUUUAAAGCCAUGAUUAAAAUCAAACGAAUUUUUUGGCUCUAACACCA